AACGAACGCUGGUGGCAGGCUUAACACAUGCAAGUCGAGCGCCCCGCAAGGGGAGCGGCAGACGGGUGAGUAACGCGUGGGAAUCUACCCAGUUCUACGGAAUAACGCAGGGAAAAUUGGACUAAUACCGUAUACGCCCUACGGGGGAAAGAUUUAUCGGAAUUGGAUGAGCCCGCGUAAGAUUAGCUAGUUGGUGGGGUAAUGGCCUAUCAAGGCGACGAUCUUUAGCUGGUCUGAGAGGAUGAUCAGCUACACUGGGACUGAGACACGGCCCAGACUCCUACGGGAGGCAGCAGUGGGGAAUAUUGGACAAUGGGCGGAAGCCUGAUCCAGCCAUGCCGCGUGAGUAAUGAAGGCCUUAGGGUUGUAAAGCUCUUUCAGUAGGGAAGAUAAUGACGGUACCUACAGAAGAAGCCCCGGCUAACUUCGUGCCAGCCGCCGCCGUAAGAC
rnacentral:rRNA from 1 species